GACGAACGCUGGCGGCGUGCUUAACACAUGCAAGUCGAACGGAAAGGCCCUGCUUUUGUGGGGUGCUCGAGUGGCGAACGGGUGAGUAACACGUGAGUAACCUGCCCUUGACUUUGGGAUAACUUCAGGAAACUGGGGCUAAUACCGGAUAGGAGCUCCUGCUGCAUGGUGGGGGUUGGAAAGUUUCGGCGGUUGGGGAUGGACUCGCGGCUUAUCGGCUUGUUGGUGGGGUAGUGGCUUACCAAGGCUUUGACGGGUAGCCGGCCUGAGAGGGUGACGGGCACAUUGGGACUGAGAUACGGCCCAGACUCCUACGGGAGGCAGCAGUGGGGAAUAUUGCACAAUGGGCUGAAGCCUGAUGCAGCAACGCCGCGUGCGGGAUGACGGCCUUCGGGUUGUAAACCGCUUUCGCCUGUGACGAAGCGUGAGUGACGGUAAUGGGUAAAGAAGCACCGGCUAACUACGUG
rnacentral:rRNA from 1 species